GACGAACGCUGGCGGCGUGCUUAACACAUGCAAGUCGAACGGAAAGGCCCCUUUUGGGGUACUCGAGUGGCGAACGGGUGAGUAACACGUGAGUAACCUGCCCUUGACUUCGGGAUAACUUCAGGAAACUGGGGCUAAUACCGGAUAGGAAUCCUUGCUGCAUGGUGGGGGUUGGAAAGCUUCGGCGGUUUUGGAUGGACUCGCGGCUUAUCAGCUUGUUGGUGGGGUAGUGGCUUACCAAGGCUUUGACGGGUAGCCGGCCUGAGAGGGCGACCGGCCACAUUGGGACUGAGAUACGGCCCAGACUCCUACGGGAGGCAGCAGUGGGGAAUAUUGCACAAUGGGCGGAAGCCUGAUGCAGCAACGCCGCGUGCGGGAUGACGGCCUUCGGGUUGUAAACCGCUUUCAGCAGGGGCGAAGCUUGUGGUGACGGUACCUGCAGAAGAAGCACCGGCUAACUACGUG
rnacentral:rRNA from 1 species